CUUUAAAUGUAGCUGCAGACAGCCAGUGGUAGGUUCCCCUCAUUCUUUCCUGAUCCUAUACUGCCAGGAACGGCGUCUAGUUGAGGUGCAGGACGGAGCACUUAAGCUGCUGGUCACCGUGCUCCCCUCUCCGUUUGGUGCAGUGCUCAUCAUGUGUGUAUGUGUGGCUGUAUCAUGUGGAGUUCCCGGGAACGGGGAAGUGAUGUCGGCUCCUGGUGCAGUAGCUGAGCUCUAGGCACUGCUGUUUUUGCCCAUUUGUCAAAUAUGUUUGGUGUGUUUAUGGUAACUUUGUUGAUUAAGUGUUUUUGUAUAAGUUGUUGUAGCUAUUAGUUUUUUUUUCUCCCUAGUUGGGUUAAGUUUUGUUAUUUUUAUGUAAACCAACAUUG